rnacentral:rRNA from 1 species
GACGAACCGUGCGAACGUUAUUCGGAAUCACUGGGCUUAAAGCGCGUGUAGGCGGGCCGCCACGUCGGCUGCUGAAAUCCCCCGGCUCAACCGGGGAAGUGGCACCGAUACGAGGCGGCCUGGAGGGGGGUAGGGGGCACUGGAACUUCCGGUGGAGCGGUGAAAUGCGUUGAGAUCGGAAGGAACGCCCGUGGCGAAAGCGAGUGCCUGGACCCUUACUGACGCUGAGACGCGAAAGCCAGGGGAGCCGAACGGG